CCCUUAGAUGUUCUGGGCCGCACGCGCGCUACACUGAUGCAUUCAACGAGCCUAUCCUUGACCGACAGGUCCGGGUAAUCUUUGAAUCUGCAUCGUGACGGGGAUAGAUUAUUGCAAUUAUUAAUCUUCAACGAGGAAUGCCUAGUAGGCGCAAGUCAUCAGCUUGCGUCGAUUACGUCCCUGCCCUUUGUACGCACCGCCCGUCGCUACUACCGAUUGAAUGGUUUAGUGAGAUCUUCGGAUUGGCCACCUUGGUGCCUUCGCGGGUCCAUGGCGUGCCGAAAAGUUGUUCAAACUUGAUCAUUUAGAGGAAGUAAAAGUCGUAACA
rnacentral:rRNA from 1 species